GACGCCUUCAGGCUGCGAUUGGGACCAAUUGGUUAUCGUCGCGACGUCGACCAACCCGUUUUGACAAAAUCCCCAAAUCUAUUCGACCGAAAACAAAAUUCGGUCGUCGCCAGCACUCCUACGGUGCCAUAGCUGCGAUGAAAGAUGAGUAACAAGAGGGGAAAUGCACUACCAUGCUCCCAAUUUGAACGAAACAGUUGGGUUACCGGCAUUUUGACACUGCGAAGAUUUAUGGUUCUGAGCCGGCAGCUCUAGGAAAUGCUUUGACAGAGGCAAUUCUUGAUGCGAACUUUGAAAGAGACGACAUUUUUGUUACUUCUAAAUUAUUGGGGAGUGAUCACCUAAGUACCGACAAGCGGGAAAGGAGUUCUGCACAGCAAAUUUGUAAUAUUUGUAGUCAAAUUUGUAAUAUUUUAUUGUAAUAAUUGUACAUGGACUAUGUAAGAAAAUGUCUUCUCUUUUUCUGUAGUGAGUAGAUUUCUAAAUGCACGAUGUGUGAAAGAGUACAUUUGUAAUAGUCACCGGAUUGGAAAGGCAACCAAAACUCCAAAAUUGACUUUUAGCGGCGGUUUAGGCUUACGCUGCUUAAAGAUCUCUGUUGCGACGCUUAGCAGCGGUUAAAAGUGUU